AGCAGCAUAGUAUAUUUGCUUCUAGCUCUCUGCAACUCACAUGGUUGCCCACUUAAGCUGAGCAGCUCUGUGCCUGAUUAGUACCUGGAUGGGAGACGACAUAGGAAAGCUAGGUUGCUGCUG
rnacentral:rRNA from 1 species